rnacentral:rRNA from 1 species
CGAUGAAGCCUUUCGGGGUGGAUUAGUGGCGAACGGGUGAGUAACACGUGGGCAAUCUGCCCUUCACUCUGGGACAAGCCCUGGAAACGGGGUCUAAUACCGGAUAACACUCUGUCCCGCAUGGGACGGGGUUAAAAGCUCCGGCGGUGAAGGAUGAGCCCGCGGCCUAUCAGCUUGUUGGUGGGGUAAUGGCCUACCAAGGCGACGACGGGUAGCCGGCCUGAGAGGGCGACCGGCCACACUGGGACUGAGACACGGCCCAGACUCCUACGGGAGGCAGCAGUGGGGAAUAUUGCACAAUGGGCGAAAGCCUGAUGCAGCGACGCCGCGUGAGGGAUGACGGCCUUCGGGUUGUAAACCUCUUUCAGCAGGGAAGAAGCGAAAGUGACGGUACCUGCAGAAGAAGCGCCGGCUAACUACGUGCCAGCAGCCGCGGUAAUACGUAGGGCGCAAGCGUUGUCCGGAAUUAUUGGGCGUAAAGAGCUCGUAGGCGGCUUGUCACGUCGGAUGUGAAAGCCCGGGGCUUAACCCCGGGUCUGCAUUCGAUACGGGCUAGCUAGAGUGUGGUAGGGGAGAUCGGAAUUCCUGGUGUAGCGGUGAAAUGCGCAGAUAUCAGGAGGAACACCGGUGGCGAAGGCGGAUCUCUGGGCCAUUACUGACGCUGAGGAGCGAAAGCGUGGGGAGCGAACAGGAUUAGAUACCCUGGUAGUCCACGCCGUAAACGUUGGGAACUAGGUG